rnacentral:rRNA from 1 species
GGAAUCUUCCACAAUGGGCGCAAGCCUGAUGGAGCAACACCGCGUGAGUGAAGAAGGGUUUCGGCUCGUAAAGCUCUGUUGUUAAAGAAGAACACGUACGAGAGUAACUGUUCAUUCGAUGACGGUAUCUAACCAGCAAGUCACGGCUAACUACGUGCCAG